UCGGCUGUUCUCAACGAACCCAGCCCAGCCCAGCCCAGCCCGCAGAGCUGCUGUUCCGCCCCGGGGCAGAGAACGAAACAGCAGCUUCUGUGGGCGGAGAAUCCUUCCCCUGAGAAGCGGUAACCCGAGGGGAGGGAGAACUCUCGUUUCCGCUGGUCUCCUCUCCCGCAGAGCUUCCCCGGAUUGACUCUGCCUCGGUACAUUCCCCUGCUGCCAGGGAGAGAAGAAGCGGAGCUCACCAUGGGCUCCGAGAGUGGAGCUGCUCCGUGGCGCCUUCUCCUCGCCCUGGCUUUGCUCUUCUCCUGCUGCGAAGCCCAAGUGGUUCAGAGCCCCGAGUCGCUGGUUACUGGCGAAGGGAAGGUCUCCACCAUGUCCUGCUCCUUCACCAGCGCUUUCCAAGUCUUCCAGUGGUACCAGCAGCUGCCUGGGCAAGGGCCGACCCACCUGCUGACCGCGAGCUCUAAUCAGAAUGACACUGUGGGGCGGUUCAUAGGCGAGCGCCUGGAAAGUGGGAAACGCAGCUCCCUGCACAUCGCCGACUCCCAGCUGGGGGACUCAGGCAGCUACCUGUGUGCGGUGAGAGCACAGUGACACAGGCAGAGCUGGGCUCAGGGCAAAAACCCUCAUCCUCUGACAGGCAGUUUAGGGGAGGAGAUGCAGGGGCAAUUCCCCAGAUGGUUUAAAGCAGCAUAAUUCCAUGGCAGCCAAGGGGACAGAUCCUCAGCCGUUAUAAAUGAAAACAGCUCUAGUGGAGUCAAUGGGGCCACAACGUGAGGACCAGGGGACUAGAACCCAGGCCUUCAGGUCAUGGGACAGCUGUGUGAAGAUCAGAAUAAAUCCGGAGUCACUCCACAUGUGUUCAUUGUGGUGACUAGAUUACAAGAAAUCCGAGACAGGAAUUCAUUUUAUUUCCUUUUCUUCCUACGGAUACUUUCUCAAGGAAAGUUCAUUACUAAACAUAACCAGCGGGAAACCAUCUUCCCUUAAUGGAGCGAAAUGCAAAAUAUCUCUGGCUUCAAAGCUGUAAGAUCACCCGCGUUUCAAUAGCAACAAAAAUAAACAAAACUAAACUACCCCCCUGCCCUUCACUUAAACCGCGACUCCUCUAUGGAAGCCAGAACUUCUGCUCCCCGUACCCCUGUGCAGUUCACACCAGAGCCCGACAGAGGGCGCUGCGGCACCGACAGGAACGCUGCAGACUCGAGACCACUUUCUGGUGUUUCUAGACAUCUAGUUCUCGCUCCAUCUCCUCCCCACG